rnacentral:rRNA from 1 species
UACAUGGGGUGCAAACGUUGCUCGGAAUUAUUGGGCGUAAAGCGCGCGUAGGCGGCUUGUCAAGUCAGGGGUGAAAUCCCACAGCUCAACUGUGGAACUGCCUUUGAAACUGUCAGGCUAGAGUGUCGGAGGGGAUAGCGGAAUUGCUAAUGUAGAGGUGAAAUUCGUAGAUAUUAGCAGGAACACCGGUGGCGAAGGCGGCUAUCUGGACGACAACUGACGCUGAGGCGCGAAAGCGUGGGGAUCAAACAGG